GAGUAACACGUAUUCAACCUUCCGAUAACUCGGGGAUAGCCUUUCGAAAGAAAGAUUAAUACUCGAUAGUAUAUUUUCUUCGCAUGUUGAAAAUAUUAAAGAAUUUCGGUUAUCGAUGGGAAUGCGUUCCAUUAGGCAGUUGGCGGGGUAACGGCCCACCAAACCUACGAUGGAUAGGGGUUCUGAGAGGAAGGUCCCCCACAUUGGAACUGAGACACGGUCCAAACUCCUACGGGAGGCAGCAGUGAGGAAUAUUGGUCAAUGGACGGAAGUCUGAACCAGCCAAGUAGCGUGAAGGAUGACUGCCCUAUGGGUUGUAAACUUCUUUUAUAUGGGAAUAAAGUGCGCCACGUGUGGUGUUUUGUAUGUACCAUUAUGAAUAAGCAUCGGCUAACUCCGUGCCAGCAGCCGCGGUAAUACGGAGGAUGCGAGCGUUAUCCGGAUUUAUUGGGUUUAAAGGGAGCGUAGGUGGGCUGGUAAGUCAGCUGUGAAAGUUUGCGGCUCAACCGUAAAAUUGCAGUUGAUACUGUCAGUCUUGAGUACAGUAGAGGUUAGCGGAAUUCGUGGUGUAGCGGUGAAAUGCUUAGAUAUCACGAAGAACUCCAAUUGCGAAGGCAGCUGACUAGACUGUUACUGACACUGAUGCUCGAAAGUGUGGGUAUCAAACAGGAUUAGAUACCCUGGUAGUCCACACAGUAAACGAUGAAUACUCGCUGUUUGCGAUAUAC
rnacentral:rRNA from 1 species